rnacentral:misc_RNA from 1 species
AUGUUGUCGUUUCUCGAUGUCCAUUCCGCGCUUAGCCACACACACCUACACGCACUCAGACACAUAGCGGUGCAACAUGAAUCUCGAUGUUGUGGAUGCGACUGCCGAGGCGCUGCCGCUCGAGCUACUCAACAACACGAACAAGGAGCUCACUGCGCAGCUCACGCGCUUUGAGCAGCAGCUGGAGGAGCGGCAGGGCGGCGUCGAGGACCAGCGGCGGCGGCUGCAGUUUAUGAAGGAGCACCUUGGCAACGUCCGCGCAGAAAUCGUGAACACGCAGAGCCUCUCCGAGACGAAGAAGCGCGAGCUUGAGUCGGAGGAGAGCAUGUGCCGCGUCAUGGAACGAGAGUGCGCGCGGCUGCAGCAGCGGCAAACACAACUGGAGCGAAGCGCCGAGGACGUACGCGACCGGCUCACGUCCGUGCAAGACCGCAUCUUCCACGGAAAUCUGAAGAUCGAGGAGCUCAAGACGACGCUGGACUACAACCAGGAGGAGCUGGAGCAGUGGGACGAGGCCCGUCGGCAAAAAGAGGAGGACGAGCUAGCCAUCGCGCGCUACUGCAAGCUUGAUGAGGCCAAGGUCAAGCAGCUCACUCAGCACAUUGAGAAGCUCGAGACCACCGUGCGGAGGCAGCGCAAGCAGCUUGAUGAGGAGAUGCUCGCCACGCAGCACGUGCAGGGGGAGCUGGACCGCGUCGCCAGCGAGUACCGCAAGCUUCACGACGACCGUAGCGGCAUGCUAGACGAGUGGGAGCAGGUGGUUCGCACCAUCGCCGAGCGCGACGAGGCCAUCCGCAUCGCGGCAGAGCAGUAUGCCGACGGCGUUGCCUGGAUUCAGAAGCGGCAACAGCUGAAGAAGUCGCUGUCGGAAUCGCUCGAGGAGGCGAAGGAGGAGACGGCGGUGAUCAAUUACACCAUCCAAGAGCGCGAGAAGACGUCGCAGAAGCUGCAGGAGGCGGUGCCGGUGCUGACGCAGCAGGUGCAGAGCAUACAGGACGAGGUGGAUGCCCUUCGUGAGGAGGCGUCACGGGCCACGCGGGACAAGCGGGCGGCGAUCCUCCAGCUGCAGGAGACCAUCACCGAGAUCGAGCGCCGCAACAAGGAACUGACGAUGACAGAGAAGCGCCGAGCCACUGUAGCGGAGAGACUCAAGGAGGAGGAGAUGGCCGCCACCGAUCUUCAGAAGCAAGCCGACUUUAUUGCGCAGCUGCUGAAGGACGCUGAAACGACCUCCCACAACGUCGCCAAGGACAUUGAGCAGCUCAAGACGGCGGCCUUCAAGGCGAACCAGGAGCUUUCCGAUGUGCGCGCGGCUCAGACGACGACCCUGGGCGAGAUCAGUGGGGCGCAGGCACAGGGCAAGAACUACAACGCCAAGAUCAACCAGCUGGAUGGGGAGUCUUUCUCUCAGCAGGGGGUGCUGUACAACAUCGAAUUCAGCGUCCAGCAGAUGGAGAAGCGUGUGGGCCGCGCCAAAGGCGAGCGCACCGAGGAGGAGCGGAAGGAGCUGCACGGCAAGAUCGAUCUUCUGCAGGCCACACUGGACGAGCUAGAGAAGCAAAACAGAAUCCUGCAGAACCAAGUGAAGCGGGUGCGGGAGGAGAUGCGGCAGUCAACCAUGCUGAUCGAGAAACUGGAGAUGACGAAGAAGCGUUCCCUUGAGGAGGUAUUAGAGAUGGACCUACGUUGCACGCACGACGAACGGGAAGAGAAGAAGCUAGAGAAGCAGCGCGAGGACCUUCUUAUCAAGGUGGACACGUUAGAGCUGCAGCUGCGCCGUCUGCGCAACGCGCUAAGAGCCAAGGAUGCAGAGCUGCUCACGUUGGAGGAGAAGAAGCGGCAGCUCGAGGCUGACGUGGCGGAGCGCGAGGCGGAGAUCGAAGUACACCACCGUCUGCUGAAGAUGGAGGCGAAGCUGGCGGAGGAGGAGCGCAAGCGCCUUGUGACGGAGCUUCUCGACCGACAGAAAAACUUGACGGCGGUCAAGAACAGACAGGAGGUGCUUGUAGGCCGCAUGGACCCGGCGCAGGCGCGCUUGUCGCAGGUCCAACUCGUGAUCGCGGCAGCGAAAGAGCGUGAGGACCUCCAGUACCGCGGCGACUCCCUCGACACGCGCAUCCGUCGCAUGGAGAAGGAGAUGCUGAAGCUCGAGAAGACCAUCGCUGUCAUCAAGGCGAGCAAUGCGCAGUACAAGCAUAAGUUCGACAAGGUCUCCGACAAGGACGAGGAGGUGCAGACGCAGAAGGCGCUCACGACCAAGUUCAAGGAGCUCAAGAGCGCAAUAAGCCGCCGCGCUCUGGAGGCGAACGACUUUCAAGCCACCACACGCAACAAGCAGGAGGAGCUGCGAGCACUCUCGUUUGAGAAAGAGCGUGUCGGACACACGCAGCAGCAGAUGCUGCAACAGUACGAGGCCGUCACCCAAGACAUCCUAACGUUGCGCGAGACUUCUGUUCGCUACGAUCAAGCCAUUGGAAAGGCCAAGGAGAACGUCGAUGCUGCCGUCGCGCGCGAUGUCGAACUCGUCUGCGCACGCGAGAGACUCGACAACACCGUCGCUCAGCUCCUCUCUCUCUCCCGCGAAGCCGGUGACGAGGUGCUUGACGUGGUCAAGCAGAUGCUCGCUGCCCAUCAGCUGUCGAUUGAAAGUGCCUAGAAAGAGGAGUGAAGGGCAACGUUGCACGUACAGUGCUCCCUCUUGGGCGGUGCUUGCGUCGCUACGUGUUUCUCGGCACGGCAGGAUGGCUGACCACCGCUGCCCCUCUUCGCCACUCUCCGUGAUGUGCCCUGGUGGGCUUGUUGCGGGCGUCCCCUUCCUUUGUUCGUUUUAGUCGCCACCCCCUCCCCGGGGCGAUUUUGAUGUAGACUACACCCCUGUGUCGCCGUUGUCCCGCAUCCUUUUC